rnacentral:misc_RNA from 1 species
GAAAUGCGAUAAGUAGUGUGAAUUGCAGAAUUCAGUGAAUCAUCGAAUCUUUGAACGCACAUUGCGCCCUUUGGUAUUCCUUAGGGCAUGCCUGUUCGAGCGUCAUCUAAACCUUCAAGCCCUGCUUGGUGUUGGGUGCCUGUCCCGCCUCCGCGCGCGGACUCACCUCAAAUCCAUUGGCGGCCCCCGCGUCGGCCACGAGCGCAGCAGAAACGCGAACUCGUGAGCCCGUCCGGGAGGCUCCCAGAAGCUACACCCACCCAGUUUGACCUCGGAUCAGGUAGGGAUACCCGCUGAACUUAAGC